GUAGACCCUGAAUUUGGACACAGCUUUAGUGUGUGUCUGCUCAGAGAGUGUAUCCUUCGCUCGACUGUCACACUGACACUCACAGAGGUGCUGAUUUCUCUAAUCGGUCUCUCAAUCCAAGAGAAAAGUACCUGUCGAAGAGCAGCACGCCACUCUCAGAGCGCCGUCCGACACAUCUCAAUGCGUGCCGAGUGGAAGGGCACAUAUCGGUCCUGUGGAGAGGCCACCAACACCACGUUCCUGAAAAACUGCAGACCUGGACAAAGAAAGGUCACUGCUUGUUGUCACCUAAACAGGGCGUGUCCACGUAUCUGUCCUCAAAGAUGAUUGGCAGGCUGCUCCAGUCUCCAUCGAUGUCCAGGCAUUCCACAGGAAGUGGAGGCAUUCGGAGCAGAUGAAAGAAAGCCAAAGGGGUUUGGCAUAAAGGUUUGCAAUAUCCCGCCCCAAACAUAUUCUCCACUGACAUCACAGAGGGCGGAGCUUCGCUCUCUGGAGAGCCUUUACCGAGCCACGCCCCCUUACCACUGCGCGCGAAACUAGAGAAAGGCAAAUGACAGGCUGUGAGUUCCUGUGGGGUGAUCAGUGUGUGCAGCUGUUACCAACUAGACUAACAUAAGGGAUCUCAGUGGGAACAGCUCAAAAGAUAUUCCAUUAUCCAGGCAUGGACGAUCAUUCGUACAACAUAUCUGUGUCAAAACAAUUCCUGCUGGUCCUCAUGGAAAACCCAAAGACACACAAAUGCCUGAUUAGUUUAUAAAAGUCAGUCUUUAGAAUAUUUGUCACUAAUGAGGCUUCUGAUCUCUGAAAACCAUUACACAUGACAGCUUACAAACACACACACUUCGGAUUUGAAAAGUUUUACUUUCAGGAGAGGUCAGAGAACGAUAUAGCACUUUAAAAGCUGACUAUUAAAGAACAGAUCUACGGCAGUGAAAAUACAUCACAUCCUUCCAGUAACACCUCCUACAAACAACAGGUACAGAUCCAACAGACUAUACACAGUAUUCACCAUUCAUCUAGAAAAGCUGGCAAUUUGAUGUGACCAUGCUAACAAGCACAUUAUUGCUUUGUAAUUUAAUUUAAUUCAAAAUAUUUAAUUCAAUAUUUAUUAAAAGAAAGAAGUAUGUAAAGUAAAUAAAUAAUACUUGCCUUGCUAAAUU